GACGACGCUGGCGGCGUGCUUAACACAUGCAAGUCGAACGGUGACGAGGAGCUUGCUCUCCGAUCAGUGGCGAACGGGUGAGUAACACGUGAGUAACCUGCCCCAGACCCUGGGAUAACAGUUGGAAACAGCUGCUAAUACCGGAUACGAGACGGAGAGGCAUCUCUACCGUCUGGAAAGAUUUAUCGGUCUGGAAUGGACUCGCGGCCUAUCAGCUUGUUGGUGAGGUAAAGGCUCACCAAGGCGACGACGGGUAGCCGGCCUGAGAGGGCGACCGGCCACACUGGGACUGAGACACGGCCCAGACUCCUACGGGAGGCAGCAGUGGGGAAUAUUGCACAAUGGGCGAAAGCCUGAUGCAGCGACGCCGCGUGAGGGAUGACGGCCUUCGGGUUGUAAACCUCUUUCAGCAGGGAAGAAGCGAAAGUGACGGUACCUGCAGAAGAAGCACCGGCUAACUACGUG
rnacentral:rRNA from 1 species